UGAAAAUGAAUGAAUGUUAAUGGUGGUGCCUUACUGGAUUUGAUUCUAUCUGAAGAUUUUGGUGCAAGUCCUGAAUUGGUUUUUGAGUAAAACUAAAACUAUUGAAGGAUAGGUGUGGUAUUUGAGGAAUAGGGGUUAGCCAGUAGUUGUUUCAUUUUUGCUUCUCAUUGGAGUCUAUGGUGGAUGAACUAGAUUGUUAGAGAAUAGUUUUGUUAGAAACUUACACCGAAGAAAGACCAAACCUACCCUCUCCUUCCCCAUUUGAUGUUGCUAUCAAGGUUGUUUUUUUAAUCUAGUUAGGAUGGUUGUAUUAUCGGGUUGUCUCUCCCUUGAUUUAUCUAAUUGUUAGAAAGGUAUUGCUAUAAGGUUGUCUCUUGAAAGUUUUAUCUAGUCAGGUUUCUUGUUAUGGUCGGGUUUCUGGUCUAGUUAGGUUGGUUGCUUUGUUAAUUAGUCCAUUGAAGUUCGGUUAGGUGGUUUAGUUCUUCGCAUGGCUCGGUGGCUGCUGGAGGGUCAUUCGGGAUAGGGAAUGGGCGUGUACUGGCUGCCUAUUCAGCAAUGGCUCGUUGCUCGAUGGCUAUCUCCUUUUUGAAGAACAAUCAGGCAGAGGAUGCUAUGCUCUUCACUUGCAUUCAAAGAGGCGAAGACCCUUUUAGGGAGGGAAAUCGAGUUAUGAACCACCUUGCCCAUCUCAUACACCUAUUUAUCUUUAGAGUUUCGUGAGUUGUCUCGUCUUCCUAGAGGAGUGCUGUUUACGGAAUGAUUUGAGGGGAGAUUAUUUCCCUCGUAGUGUUACUUUGAAUUAUUAGGACUUUAUUCGAAGUUUUUGCCGAAAAGAAUUGGGUAUCGUUUGGUUCAGCUAAAAAAUGAAGAUUAAAACAAC
rnacentral:lncRNA from 1 species